AUGAAUGGUGAAAAUCAUUCGCAAUCCCAACUAAGUACAUUUUACAGAAGCAUUUUUUAGUUUAUUAAAGAUAAUACGUCUGUUUCCUUGAAAAAUCAAAAAACAAAAAGAAAAAUGUCGUUCGGUUAUUUGAUGAAUAUUGCAGUUAUGACGGUGCUCGCUGUUUGUCAGUUUGCUGUGUUUGCUGAAGCCCAAAUUGGAGGAUUGGGAUCACCAGGAGUCGGAGGUGGAGGACAUGGAGGAGGUAUCGGUGGCACCGGGGGUAUCGACGGCUUCGGAAAAUGAACAUCAAAUGAGGAUAUCAGUUCUUGUUCGAGGUAAAUCAGUUGCAAAAUUAAUCAAAUUAAACACAUAUUCAAAGCUCAAUGGUCACCCACUAAAUUUAUUAAUUUACCGGAAUUCACGUUUAUUUAGUUUAAGGUUUAAUGUAUGUAUGUACUUGAGUACCUAAUUAUGUAUUAGGUACGUAAUAAGUAUGGUGGAGGGUAUCCUUAUUCGCAUAAUAAAAUAAAAUUCAGCAUCACAAAUGGCCUUUUUAACUGAUGGUAUUUCUAAGAAAUUGUAAAAACUCGAAAUAAUACGACGAGUAAUUCUUUCUGUUUCGCAUGAAAGAAAAAAUGAAUGAACGAGCAAUAGACUCGAAAAAUCACUUGAAAUGUCAAAAUCCUGUUAAAUUUUACGACGAGUUAUAUAUGCUAAAGUUAACACGCCCACCACCAAUCAGCUAAUUCUACCAAUUUCAAAAAUUUGCCAAACAUUUGAAAAUCAAUUUCGGUCGCUCAAAUUUUUUUUUGAGGAGAAGGUGACGUGACGUGCAUUUUUGUACCUAUGUACUGAACAAAAUUUCGUAUUUCAAGUGCAACGUUCCAACGCUAAUAUAAAUGUAAAUCAUUGGUGACAAUUGCAGUUCGGCCCUUUGAUCUAGCACGAACUAUGCGGUCAUUCAAAAAUUUAAACAUUUCAGUCGAGUAGAUCAUAAAUUUUUCAAAAAUAAAAUUUCAAAGUAUUUGUCGGUUUGGCACAGAACCGCAUAAAUACUGUAAAACAGUAGGUAUAUGGUUAGACUCAUUCGCAAUUCCAACUAUUACAAGUUUAGUACAUUCAACUAAAUUGUUUAAUUUUAUUGAAAAAAUGAAAAUGGAAUUCGGUUAUUUAAUGGACAUUGCUGUUAUGGCGGUGUUGGCUGUUUAUCAAUUCGUUAUGUUUGUCGAAGCACAAGGAGUACAAUUUGAACGCCCAGGAGGAUCAGGAGGUGGAGGUAGAGGUGGAGGAGGAUUAAUAGGCGGUGACACAUGCGGCUG